AAAAAAAAAAAAAAAAAAACAAAAAAAAGAAGAAAAGCAGAUACUCUGUGAUCGGUUAUUUUAUAAUAUUAUUACUUAUUAUCACUCCCCUCCCUCCCCCUCCCCAUUAAGUUAAUUUAUUAAUAAUACAUAAUACAUAUAUAUAUAUAUAUAUAAAACGGAUUUUUUUUUUUUAUUAUUAUUAUUAUUAUUAUAAUUUUUAUUCGCAGACUGCAAUUGUAUGUGUUAUUUAUUGUGUAACAAUUACAACAAUACUAUUAUUAUCAUCAGCAACAAUACAUGUAUUACUUAUAUAUUAUUAUGAUUAUUAUCUACGCGCGCGCGCGCAUACAUUUAUAACAUUGAAUAAAUUAUUAUUCGCGCGUCACGUCAACGUGCGUUACGCGUUGACAGAGCAAAUCCGGUGUUUCGAUAGAAUUUAGAGAAAAAAAAAAAAAAAUAUAUAUAAAUAUAACCUCCCCCCUCCCCCCGAUCGGCGUUCCCGCGACGCGGUGCCUAUUUCUGUUAUUGUUUCGACGACUCCGACCGAGUCGAGUUUCUUUUUGCUCGCGGGACGGUUUUUUUUUUUUUUCUGUAUACGUCCACUUGCUCUACGCCGCCGCUAUUAACUAUACUGUGCCGCUCGUUCGCGUUACGAACCGUAAUGCUGGUGUUAUCAUUACGGCACUCUCCCCCGGGGGUUACGGUCGGAAAAUUUUCCCCUCCGCGGCGCAAAUGUAAAUUGUCGUGUCGGCGCGCGCGUUACACCGGUAACCGUUCGAUUUUUUUUGUUUUUAAAAUUUUUAUUUCUUUCGGGGGUUCGUCUACGUUUCCGGGCACGCGCCCCGCAGCGGGCUAUAACGUCGCAGUUAAACGCGCGCGCGACGAACGAGACGAAAAGAAACGAACGUUUCGCACGGCGCGACCGGGAGCGUUUAACCGUCGGCGUGUUCGUCGGCCGGACGCGCGAUUUCGCCGCGAUUGUCGCGUGUACGCCGGCGGGAGGGGGAGGGUUGGAACAAACGACGCGCGUUUUUCGCCGGCCGGUGAUUUCCCCCCUCCUCCCCACCCCCUCCCGCGUACUCCCGAACGCAAAAAAAAAAAAACGUAACGUUCUGAGAAAUUUCGGCGGCCUUACGACACCGGCCAAUAGAAUUUACGGGGCGUCGGCGUCGCGAGGAGAAGACUCGGCUCGCGGGGAGAAAAAAAAGGAAAAAAAAACGAAAAUCGCUUUUGCCGGCUUUGCGGAUUUUUCUUCUGUUUUUCGCGCGCGCCCGCAUAUUUUGAUGUCGCAUACGUGUUGUACGCGUUCGUUGUACACUAUACAUAUAUUAUUAUUAUUAUUAUUAUUAUUUUUAUGAUACCGUUGCGUGUUGUGUCCGUGAGCGAAUAUAUUAUUAUAUUUAUUAUAUUUAGGGUGCUUCCACAUUUGUAUUCGAAAAAUUAAGUGAAAACAAAAAAAAAAAAAAAAAAAAAAAAAAAAAAAAAAAAAAAACAAAAAAAAAAAAAAAAAAAAAACAAUUAAAUUCGAUAAGUGUAUAAAUUAUAAUAUUAUAUAUAUUAUAUUAUUAUUUUUUAUUAUUAUUAUUAUUAUUAAUUUUUUUUUUUUUUU
rnacentral:lncRNA from 1 species